UACGAACUGUGCGAACGUUAUUCGGAAUCACUGGGCUUACAGGGUGCGUAGGUGGCCGGACAAGUCAGGUGUGAAAUCCCUCAGCUCAACUGAGGAACUGCGCUUGAAACUGUUUGGCUAGAGUGGGCUAGGGGUGCUUGGAACUGCCAGUGGAGCGGUGAAAUGUGUUGAUAUUGGCAGGAACACCGGAGCCGAAAGGGAAGCACUGGGGCUUAACUGACACUGAGGCACGAAAGCCAGGGGAGCAAACGGG
rnacentral:rRNA from 1 species